GGGCGUGCUAAUCUGCGAUAAGCGCCGGUAAGGUGAUAUGAACCGUUAUAACCGGCGAUACCCGAAUGGGGAAACCCAGUGUGACUCGUCACACUAUCAUUAACUGAAUCCAUAGGUUAAUGAGGCGAACCGGGGGAACUGAAACAUCUAAGUACCCCGAGGAAAAGAAAUCAACCGAGAUUCCCCCAGUAGCGGCGAGCGAACGGGGAGGAGCCCAGAGCCUGAAUCAGCAUGUGUGUUAGUGGAAGCGUCUGGAAAGGCGCGCGAUACAGGGUGACAGCCCCGUACACAAAAGCGCAUGUGCUGUGAGCUCGAUGAGUAGGGCGGGACACGUGGUAUCCUGUCUGAAUAUGGGGGGACCAUCCUCCAAGGCUAAAUACUCCUGACUGACCGAUAGUGAACCAGUACCGUGAGGGAAAGGCGAAAAGAACCCCGGCGAGGGGAGUGAAAAAGAACCUGAAACCGUGUACGUACAAGCAGUGGGAGCACCCUUUGGGUGUGACUGCGUACCUUUUGUAUAAUGGGUCAGCGACUUAUAUUCUGUAGCAAGGUUAACCGAAUAGGGGAGC
rnacentral:rRNA from 1 species